rnacentral:lncRNA from 1 species
AUGACGCUCAUCAAAGGAAUUAAGGCCCUUCUGGCGUGUAACGGCACCCCGAGCCCAGAGCCGCUGCUCUUUGGCUUGCUGCAGAGCGCCGGGUGGGGGGCGAGGGGCUGUGCCUCCCCCGGUGCUGAAAUCGCCCUCCUGGGGCACAGGGUCAGCCCGGUUGUUUGGGGCUGGGUACUGGGAAUGGGGUCCUCAGCCUCUCUGUGUCCAUCUGCUCAGGGUGAAGACAGCGGUGAUGAGGAAGGAGGAGAGCGUGAGCAGCCUUCGGAAGCAGUACGAAGUGGCUAUGCAGAGAGCCGACCGCCUGGAAGCCCUCCUGGAGCAACAGCGAAAGCAGCUGCUGGCCACCAAGUGACCACCCUGCUGUGCAGGGCUGGGGGUGCUCCGGGGCCCCCGCUGGACCUGUGCUCGGGGGGAGCGGACACCCGUGCGCAUGGGGCUGGGGUCCUGCCCUCCCUUCCCUCCCUCUACCCUCGUUUUUUACAACCCGGUCCCCGUGCCGCGGCCGUGUGCCCUGCCGGAACACUCGGCAGCCUUCAGGUGUUUGGUGGUUGUGUUUUAACAAUAAAUCUGCGCUGG